rnacentral:rRNA from 1 species
GAUGAACGCUGGCGGCGUGCCUAAUACAUGCAAGUCGAGCGAACGGACGAGAAGCUUGCUUCUCUGAUGUUAGCGGCGGACGGGUGAGUAACACGUGGAUAACCUACCUAUAAGACUGGGAUAACUUCGGGAAACCGGAGCUAAUACCGGAUGAUAUUUUGAACCGCAUGGUUCAAAAGUGAAAGACGGUCUUGCUGUCACUUAUAGAUGGAUCCGCGCUGCAUUAGCUAGUUGGUAAGGUAACGGCUUACCAAGGCAACGAUGCAUAGCCGACCUGAGAGGGUGAUCGGCCACACUGGAACUGAGACACGGUCCAGACUCCGACGGGAGGCAGCAGUAGGGAAUCUUCCACAAGGGGCGAAAGCCUGACGGAGCAACGCCGCGUGAGUGAUGAAGGUCUUCGGAUCGUAAAACUCUGUUAUUAGAGAAGAACAUAUGUGUAAGUAACUGUGCACAUCUUGACGGUACCUAAUCAGAAAGCCACGGCUAACUACGU